GACGAACGCUGGCGGCGUGCCUAAUACAUGCAAGUAGAACGCACAGUUUAUACCGUAGCUUGCUACACCAUAGACUGUGAGUUGCGAACGGGUGAGUAACGCGUAGGUAACCUGCCUGGUAGCGGGGGAUAACUAUUGGAAACGAUAGCUAAUACCGCAUAAUAUUAAUUAUUGCAUGAUAAUUAAUUGAAAGGUGCAAUUGCACCACUACCAGAUGGACCUGCGUUGUAUUAGCUAGUAGGUGAGGUAACGGCUCACCUAGGCGACGAUACAUAGCCGACCUGAGAGGGUGAUCGGCCACACUGGGACUGAGACACGGCCCAGACUCCUACGGGAGGCAGCAGGAGGGAAUCUUCGGCAAUGGACGAAAGUCUGACCGAGCAACGCCGCGGGAGGGAAGAAGGUUUUCGGAUCGUAAAGCUCUGUUGUAAGAGAAGAACGGGUGUGAGAGUGGAAAGUUCACACUGUGACGGUAUCUUACCAGAAAGGGACGGCUAACUACGUG
rnacentral:rRNA from 1 species